GUUUCCGUAGGAAGAAGCGCCGGGAAAGAUGGCGGCGUCUGUGGUUUGAAUUCCAGCGGCGCCGCCAGAGUCUGAACAAGAGCUGGGGUGGAGGGGGCGGGGACCUGGGGAGCCCGGCGGGUCGCUAUCGCGGGGGGUACUAGUGGCGCCGCCGCCACAGACACCAACGCUGUCGCCACCUCUGUAGCCAUGAUGGACUUGGUGUUGGAAGAGGACGUCACCGUCCCUGGGACGCUCAGCGGCUGCAGUGGCCUUGUUCCCAGUGUACCAGAUGACCUGGAUGGCAUCAACCCCAAUGCUGGGUUGGGAAAUGUGCUCCCAAAUGUGUCAGAAGAAACAGUGUCUCCCACCAGAGCACGGAACAUGAAGGACUUUGAAAAUCAAAUCACUGAAUUGAAGAAAGAAAACUUUAACCUAAAGCUCCGCAUCUAUUUCCUUGAGGAAAGAAUGCAACAGGAAUUUCAUGGCCCCACUGAACAUAUCUACAAAACUAACAUUGAGCUCAAGGUGGAAGUAGAAAGUCUGAAGCGGGAACUCCAGGAGAGAGAGCAGCUGCUCAUCAAAGCCUCCAAAGCAGUUGAGAGCUUAGCUGAAGCAGGUGGCUCUGAAAUCCAGCGGGUGAAAGAAGAUGCUCGAAAGAAGGUGCAGCAGGUGGAAGAUCUCCUAACUAAAAGAAUACUCCUUUUGGAAAAGGAUGUGACAGCCGCCCAGGCAGAACUGGAAAAGGCCUUUGCAGGGACAGAGACGGAGAAGGCUCUUCGGUUGCGUUUGGAAAGCAAGCUUUCAGAGAUGAAGAAGAUGCACGAGGGGGACUUGGCGAUGGCUCUGGUCCUGGAUGAGAAAGACAGACUGAUUGAGGAGUUGAAGCUGUCUUUGAAGAGCAAAGAAGCUUUAAUUCAGUGCCUUAAAGAGGAGAAAUCUCAGAUGGCAUGUCCUGAUGAGAAUGUGUCAUCUGGAGAGCUCCGAGGACUUUGUGCUGCUCCAAGGGAAGAAAAGGAGAGAGAAACUGAGGCUGCACAAAUGGAGCAUCAGAAGGAGAGAAACAGCUUUGAAGAGAGGAUCCAGGCACUUGAAGAGGACCUGAGAGAGAAGGAAAGAGAAAUUGCUACAGAGAAGAAAAAUAGUCUAAAGAGGGAUAAAGCCAUUCAGGGUUUAACCAUGGCAUUAAAAUCAAAGGAAAAAAAGGUUGAAGAACUUAACUCUGAAAUUGAAAAGCUCAGUGCUGCCUUUGCUAAAGCCAGAGAGGCCCUACAGAAAGCACAGACCCAGGAAUUUCAGGGGUCUGAAGACUAUGAGACUGCUCUAUCAGGAAAGGAAGCCCUUUCGGCUGCGCUGCGCUCACAAAACCUCACCAAGAGUACAGAGAACCACAGACUGCGUAGAAGCAUUAAGAAGAUCACCCAGGAGCUGAGUGACUUGCAGCAGGAGAGGGAGAGACUGGAGAAGGACCUGGAGGAAGCCCAUCGAGAGAAGAGCAAAGGAGACUGCACCAUCCGUGGUCUCACUCUGUUUCCUGGGCUGUUCCUGAACUCCUGGGCUCAAGUGAUCCUCCCACCUCAGUUUCUUGAGUAGCUGGGAUUAUAGGCACAUGCCACCAUGCCCACCUCACUGAUUGUUCCUGAUAGAGGAUCUUAGAAAUGAAGUUGAAAAAUUACGCAAUGAAGUGAAUGAAAGAGAGAAAGCAAUGGAAAAUCGUUACAAGAGUCUUCUGAGUGAAAGCAAUAAAAAAUUGCACAAUCAAGAGCAAGUGAUCAAACAUCUAACAGAAAGUACCAAUCAGAAGGACGUGUUGCUUCAGAAAUUCAAUGAAAAAGAUUUGGAAGUAAUACAGCAGAACUGCUAUUUAAUGGCUGCAGAGGAUCUUGAGCUCAGGAGUGAAGGCUUAAUAACAGAAAAGUGCUCUUCUCAACAGCCACCAGGCAGCAAAACCAUCUUCUCUAAGGAAAAGAAACAAUCAUCAGACUAUGAAGAGCUGAUUCAGGUCUUAAAGAAAGAGCAGGACAUCUAUACCCAUCUGGUCAAAUCUCUGCAGGAAUCAGACAGUAUCAACAACCUGCAGGCUGAGUUAAACAAGAUUUUUGCCCUGCGGAAGCAACUGGAGCAGGAUGUGCUUUCAUAUCAGAAUUUGCGGAAGACCUUGGAGGAGCAGAUCAGCGAAAUUCGGAGGCGGGAAGAAGAAUCAUUUUCACUUUAUAGUGAUCAAACAUCUUAUCUAAGUAUUUGCCUUGAAGAAAACAAUCGGUUUCAAGUGGAACAUUUUUCUCAAGAAGAACUUAAGAAAAAGGUCAGUGACCUUAUACAGCUAGUGAAGGAGCUGUAUACAGACAACCAGCACCUGAAGAAAACCAUUUUUGAUCUCUCCUGCAUGGGUUUCCAGGGAAAUGGGUUUCCAGAUAGACUUGCGUCUACAGAACAAACAGAGACAUCACUGACUUAUUCAUACAUAUUCAUGCUGCACACUUUUUUGGGUUGCAUUUUCACACCAUUCCAUGCUCCAUGUAGCUUCUGGCUAGCAAGGAGGACGAGGACACGAUCAAAAUUGGGGAGGAUGACGAGAUUAAUUUCCUGAGUGACCAGCAUUUGCAGCAGAGUAAUGAGAUUAUGAAAGACCUUUCCAAAGGAGGCUGCAAAAAUGGAUACUUAAGGCACACGGAGUCUAAGAUUUCAGAUUGUGAUGGGGCCCACGCACCUGGCUGCCUAGAAGAAGGUGCAUUCAUAAACCUGCUUGCCCCUUUGUUCAAUGAGAAGGCCACAUUAUUACUGGAAUCCAGGCCAGACCUUCUGAAAGUGGUACGGGAACUGCUUCUGGGACAACUAUUCUUGACAGAGCAGGAAGUUUCUGGAGAACACCUUGAUGGUAAAACUGAGAAGACACCUAAGCAAAAAGGUGAACUUGUACAUUUUGUCCAAACCAACUCAUUUUCCAAGCCACAUGAUGAACUGAAGUUGUCUUGUGAGGCCCAGCUAGUAAAGGCAGGCGAAGUGCCCAAGGUAGGACUGAAAGAUGCCUCAGUGCAGACUGUGGCCACGGAGGGCGACCUGCUGAGAUUCAAGCAUGAAGCAACAAGAGAGGCUUGGGAAGAGAAACCGAUCAACACUGCACUCAGCGCAGAGCAUCGGCCAGAGAACCUGCACGGGGUGCCUGGGUGGCAGGCUGCCCUCCUUUCCCUCCCUGGUAUUACCAACAGAGAGGCUAAGAAGUCCCGCUUGCCAAUCCUAAUAAAACCAUCCCGGUCAUUAGGAAAUAUGUAUCGUCUCCCUGCCACCCAGGAGGUGGUGACGCAGCUGCAGAGCCAGAUCUUGGAGCUGCAGGGGGAGCUGAAGGAGUUUAAAACUUGUAAUAAGCAACUUCACCAAAAGUUAAUUCUGGCUGAAGCAGUGAUGGAGGGGAGGCCAACGCCCGACAAAACGUUGCUGAAUGCUCAGCCCCCUGUGGGAGCAGCCUACCAGGACAGCCCAGGAGAGCAGAAAGGAAUUAAAACCACAUCUUCUGUCUGGAGAGACAAGGAAAUGGACAGUGAUCAGCAAAGAAGCUACGAGAUUGACUCUGAGAUUUGCCCACCUGAUGACCUUGCCAGCUUGCCAUCAUGCAAAGAAAAUCCUGAAGAUGUUCUGAGCCCAACUUCAGUAGCUACUUACCUGAGUUCCAAGAGUCAGCCUUCUGCUAAAGUCAGUGUGAUGGGGACUGAUCAGUCAGAGAGCAUUAAUACCUCAAAUGAGACAGAAUACUUAAAACAGAAAAUCCAUGACUUGGAAACUGAGCUGGAAGGCUACCAGAAUUUCAUAUUUCAGCUUCAAAAGCACUCCCAGUGCAGUGAGGCCAUAAUUACAGUUUUGUGUGGGACAGAAGGGGCCCAGGAUGGCUUGAGCAAGCCCAAGAAUGGUUCUGAUGGGGAAGAAAUGACCUUUUCAAGUUUGCACCAAGUGCGAUACGUGAAACACGUGAAAAUCCUCGGUCCGCUGGCCCCAGAGAUGAUUGACAGCAGGGUGCUGGAGAACCUCAAACAGCAGCUGGAGGAACAGGAAUACAAGCUGCAGAAGGAGCAGAAUUUGAACAUGCAACUUUUCAGUGAGAUCCAUAAUCUGCAGAAUAAGUUCAGAGAUCUCUCACCUCCCAGAUACGAUUCAUUAGUUCAGUCCCAAGCCAGGGAGCUCUCCCUUCAACGGCAGCAGAUUAAGGAUGGCCAUGGCAUCUGUGUCAUCUCCCGUCAACACAUGAACACCAUGAUUAAGGCAUUUGAGGAGUUGCUGCAGGCCAGUGAUGUGGAUUACUGUGUGGCCGAGGGUUUCCAGGAACAGCUGAAUCAAUGUGCUGAGCUGCUGGAGAAAUUGGAAAAGCUAUUUCUCAACGGAAAAUCAGUUGGAGUGGAAAUGAACACCCAGAAUGAACUGAUGGAGAGGAUUGAGGAAGACAACUUAACCUACCAACAUCUUCUGCCUGAAUCUCCUGAGCCUUCAGCCUCUCAUGCGCUCUCUGAUUAUGAAACAUCUGAAAAGUCCUUCUUCUCACGAGACCAGAAGCAAGAUAAUGAGACAGAGAAGACUUCAGUUAUGGUGAACAGUUUUUCUCAAGACUUACUAAUGGAACACAUACAGGAAAUUCGAACUUUGAGAAAGCGUUUAGAAGAAUCUAUUAAAACAAAUGAGAAGCUACGGAAACAGUUGGAACGGCAAGGAUCUGAAUUUGUUCAAGGUUCUACAAGCAUUUUUGCUUCUGGUUCAGAGCUUCAUAGUUCUCUAACAUCAGAAAUUCAUUUCUUGAGGAAGCAGAACCAGGCCCUCAAUGCAAUGCUCAUUAAAGGAUCCAGAGAUAAACAGAAGGAGAAUGACAAAUUACGAGAGUCCCUCUCCAGGAAGACCGUGAGCCUGGAGCACCUUCAGCGGGAGUAUGCCAGCGUGAAGGAAGAAAAUGAAAGGCUGCAGAAAGAAGGCAGCGAGAAGGAGAGACACAACCAGCAGCUGAUCCAGGAGGUCCGCUGCAGCGGCCAGGAGCUGAGCAGGGUGCAGGAGGAGGUGAAGUUGAGGCAGCAGCUGCUCUCACAGAAUGACAAGCUAUUGCAGUCUCUCCGAGUGGAGCUGAAGGCGUAUGAGAAGCUGGAUGAAGAGCACAGGAGACUGAGAGAGGCGUCGGGAGAAGGCUGGAAGGGGCAGGAUCCUUUCAGGGACCUGCACAGCCUCCUGAUGGAGAUCCAGGCUCUGCGCUUGCAACUAGAAAGGAGCAUCGAAACCAGCAGCACUCUGCAGAGCAGGCUCAAGGAACAGCUGGCAAGGGGGGCAGAGAAGGCACAGGAAGGAGCCCUCACUCUGGCUGUCCAAGCCGUGUCCAUCCCUGAGGUGCCCCUUCAGCCUGACAAACACGAUGGUGACAAAUAUCCCAUGGAAAGUGAUAAUUCAUUUGAUCUGUUUGAUUCCUCCCAGGCAGUGACACCAAAAUCAGUUUCAGAGACUCCUCCACUCUCUGGGAAUGACACGGACUCCCUCUCCUGCGACAGUGGCAGUUCGGCAACUAGCACUCCGUGUGUGUCCCGCCUGGUCACUGGCCACCACCUGUGGGCCAGCAAGAAUGGCCGCCAUGUCCUGGGCCUGAUUGAGGACUAUGAGGCCCUGCUCAAACAGAUCAGCCAGGGACAGAGGCUCCUUGCUGAAAUGGACAUUCAAACCCAAGAGGCUCCCAGCUCCACAAGUCAAGAGCUGGGAACAAAGGGUCCACACCCAGCACCACUGAGCAAGUUUGUGAGCAGUGUGAGCACGGCCAAGCUGACCCUGGAAGAGGCCUACAGGCGGCUGAAGCUUCUCUGGAGAGUCUCACUCCCCGAGGAUGGCCAGUGCCCCCUUCACUGUGAGCAGAUUGGAGAAAUGAAGGCAGAGGUCACCAAACUACAUAAAAAAUUGUUUGAACAAGAAAAGAAGUUGCAAAACACCAUGAAGCUUUUGCAGCUGAGCAAGCGCCAGGAAAAAGUCAUCUUUGAUCAAUUGGUCGUAACCCACAAAAUCCUUCGGAAGGCCAGAGGAAACCUGGAGCUUAGGCCUGGGGGAGCCCAUCCAGGAACAUGCAGUCCCAGCAGACCAGGCUCCUGAGAAGAACUUUCAGCCAAUAAAGCUUGUGCUUCCCCCACCGAGCUCACGCUGUCUCUUUGUUCCAAGUGUGGUUCCUAUUUAUUGAGGAAGAAAGAGCUGUCUGGCCAAAGGAAAUCUAUUUUUUCCCUUCAUGUUUUCUCUCUGAAAGUUGGCUUGAGAGUUGUUGUCAGAAAGGUGCAGGUGCUCCACAAACGGGUGGUAAAAAGGCCUCGAGCUCUUGGAUGUUGUAUUUCAGAUCAGGGGCAGGCACCGGAGUUGAGGCUGUGCGCCUUGGUGGGCUUCACGUCUUCCCCUGGAUUUGCUUAGUACUCAGCCAGUGCCACAGUUUGAAGAUUCUCAUUAAAUGAUUCAUUUCAUUUCA